rnacentral:pre_miRNA from 1 species
CCUAUUUUAAGUGCAGCCAUGAUUUUCCGUGCACAACUUUAAUCGUCCGUUUUACUUGAAUUUUUUUUGAAAAAAAUGAAAAAGUAAGUCACGUAUAAAGUACUAUUCAUAUUUUAUCAUCCCAUAACAAUAAAAAUGCAAAUUAUAAAAAAAAUUCAAAUAAGACGGACGAUUAAAGUUGGGCAUGAAAACUUAUGGUUGCACUUAAAAUGGG